UUAAUGAAACAGAAAAGUUUUUUCCCAAAAUUAAACUUGGGACAAAUGCGUCAUAAUAGUUUGUUGUCAUUUUUGUUUUUUUUUUUUUUUUUUCGACCUAGUGUUUCUAAUUUUCCGAUUGAAUGAAGUGCUUUUAAAGAAUCAGAAUUAAAUCCGAUUCCCCUUUUUUCCAUAAAAGCAGAAUUAUACAACCCUUUUUUAUUUUCUCUUUUUCCUGAACUUCUAAAAAACGAA
rnacentral:ribozyme from 11 species